rnacentral:lncRNA from 1 species
CAAGUCUUUGCCAGCAGGACCCAGAGGCUCGUGGUGGGAAUUUCUAUUCACUGCCACAUGGAGCAGGAUAUUGGUGUUAUAUACAUGGAGUCCAUUUAAAAUUCUUUUUCACAUGUUUUCCCAUUGCUGCCUGAUUCUUUUCUUUUCUCCAGGGAAGGGGUGACAGCUGAUAUGCCCUGAUGUGUCAGGGCUGGGGAUCUAACAUGCUGGACCCAUCCAGGGGGUACCUAUGGACACCAACUCAGCCUUGGGACCCACCACAGCCCCACACCUCUGCCCAGGGAUGGAAAAUGCACCCACAGCUGCCAGCCCGCAGGAAAACAAGUGUGUCCUCUUCUGCCCUCCUCUGGCCCCUCCCAGGGGAAAGAUGUUGGGUACUGUCUCUCCAGCUGACUCUUUCCAAAUGAAGUGCACGUUUCUGAUGCCUCUACAAUUUUCUGAGAUGAAUAUUCUAUCUAUUCUUUCCCAAAUCAGCCAUGUAAGUAAGAAGCCUAACAGUGUUUAAUUAAAUCAUGUGUAUGAGGUUCAUUUU